CCAUUUAUUUUCAGUUGCCUUUUAAAGAGGGAAAGCUCAUGGUGCAAAUUGUUAUUUCUAGUGUGAAGGCUGAAGUCCUGGCAGAAUGGGUGCUGAUGGAUCUACAGGGGGAGAUAGAGGCUCACUACAGCACUGGAUUAGCUGGAAACCUCCUGAGAGACCUACAUUACAUCACCGAGGGAAUUCCUGUGCUGAUUGUGGGGCAUCAUAUCCUGUAUGGCAAAAUCAUCCACCUGGAGAAAACUUUUGUAGUUAUUGUCAAACACACUCCUAGAGAGCAUGACUGUGAUGAGCUUGGCCAUGAGACUGGCUCCACCCAGUAUCUGAUGACAACACUCAUCAAAGACAAGAUCUUUUUCAAAACCCGUCCCAAACCCAUUAUCACCAACGUCCUCAAGAAAGUAUGA